AUACGUAGGGAGCGAGCGUUGUCCGGAAUUACUGGGCGUAAAGGGCGCGUAGGCGGCGCUUCAAGUCGUCUGUCAAAUGGGAGGGCUUAACCCUUUUUCGCAGACGAAACUGGAGAGCUUGAGAAGCAGAGAGGCAAACAGAAUUCCUGGUGUAGCGGUGAAAUGCGUAGAUAUCAGGAAGAAUACCAGUGGCGAAGGCGGUUUGCUGGCUGCAUACUGACGCUGAAGCGAGAAAGCCAGGGGAGCAAACGGGAUUAGAUACCCCGGUAGUCCUGGCAGUAAACGAUGUAUGCUGGGUGUGAGACUAGCGAUAGUUUCGUGCCGAAGUUAACGCGAUAAGCAUACCGCCUGGGGAGUACGGUCGCAAGAUUGAAACUUAAAGGAAUUGACGGGU
rnacentral:rRNA from 1 species